rnacentral:rRNA from 1 species
AGAACGAACGCUGGCGGCAGGCUUAACACAUGCAAGUCGAACGCAUCCGCAAGGGUGAGUGGCAGACGGGUGAGUAACACGUGGGAACAUACCCUUCGGUACGGAACAACUUGGGGAAACUCGAGCUAAAUACCGUAUACGUCCUGGCGGAGAAAGAUUGAUCGCCGAAGGAUUGGCCCGCGUUCGAUUAGCUAGUUGGUGAGGUAACGGCUCACCAAGGCGACGAUCGAUAGCUGGUCUGAGAGGAUGGCCAGCCACAUUGGGACUGAGACACGGCCCAAACUCCUACGGGAGGCAGCAGUGGGGAAUAUUGGACAAUGGGCGCAAGCCUGAUCCAGCCAUGCCGCGUGAGUGAUGAAGGCCUUAGGGUUGUAAAGCUCUUUCGCACGCGACGAUAAUGACGGUAGCGUGAGAAGAAGCCCCGGCUAACUUCGUGCCAGCAGCCGC